CUUUCACAAAGCAGGGGAAGAGUUAUGGCUGGGGUCAUGGAAGUUUUCUCCUGCACCCCGUUCUAGUUUGAUGGUUUUAGAUUUUUACAUCUAGGAAUGGAUUCCUGUAUCCAGUAUAAGGUCCCACCCUCCCAAGAGUAAGCAAAGAAGAUUCAGACAAGAUAACCACAAAGAAGAGACUGAGACAGGACCAGCUUCCUAGAAGAAACAGAGACCAAGACAUUUGGGAAGGACACGCUCCAAACUUUUGAGCUGACUACAGGCUGUGCAAUGUGCUCCAGGUUCUUGACUUUUCUGAGCUGUCACCUGUGCUGUGGUAAACUUUGGUGAUGCAACUGUCCUUAAAUCAUUUCUGCUUUUAUCAGAGAACAACUCCGACAGUCAGUUGGAUCUCUUCUUUCACCACAUGGUUCUGAGGACCAAAGUCAGGCUCAGUGAAAAAGACAAGGCCUAACUGUUCUUGAAAACACCUUAAAGGGCAUUUCCUUAAAGAUUGACCACACCUGCCUUUCAACUUGGCCUUUCGUACGAAUCUACCUGGAUGUCUGCCUGCCACAGUGCAGCCUUCCAACUUGGCCAUUGUCAUCCAAGAUUUUCUUUAUCAUUCUGAAUGCUGACUUUGGCUUUCAUGAACGGCCAAAAUGACAACUUGGAAUAAUAAAGUCCACUCAUUUUUAAAUAUGGCGGGAGACGUCUCAGGAAGAUUGAGGGCAUUCGGAUGGGAAAGCAGCCCUUCCUGAACUCACUUCUUCUUGGACUUUUAAUUCUCCAGUCAUCCCUCAGGCAGGAAUGAUGUCUGUAUCAGAAGAAUGGAAUGCAUGGCAGUAUUGGAGCCCUCCCUUGGGAGCUUUUAGCAUAAUUUGUGAUUGAGUUCAAGCCUGGAAUUUGUCCCGGCCCCUAAUCAAUCCUUAGGUAUUUCUGUUCUCUUCAUGUUCGUGGGGCAGGCUGCCCAUCUUGUUAUGGCCUUCCCUUGACAUUCUGAAAUACAACGUAUUGAUUG
ensembl:lncRNA